AUGUACAUUCCUCUUUAUUUAAUACAGCACAGACACGUGACACAUAAAAAACAGAAAAGUACACUCAUGAAAAAGCCUGUCGCAGUCAGGGACAGGGAACAGCUACGCCAAAUUGAGUAAGGCUCCUACUGCAGAACAGGGGUCUGCCGGCAAGGGUGGAUCCCAGAGCAAAGUCUGCUGCCAAAAAAAGCUUGCGCUCCUUUCAGGAAAGCAGAAAAGGGCAAGUCCCUUCUGAACAGGUGAAGGCAGCGUUACCCACAAGGUUUGCAGGAUACGAACCCCAUGACUGUGUUUGGAUCCGAGCACUGAUAAAAGUGAAAUGCUCUCCAGUUACUCUCACAGAGGGCCAAUAAUCCUGACCUCUGAAAGCAUUGGACUGCUCAGGGAUAGGAAACCUGAGUACCUGGAAGGAGUGAAAACGUCAAGUAGUAACAUAGAAGAGAGUUAAAAUUAGCCUCCCUGACAGGGCUCUGCUAGCCACAACUGGGAAUGUGCAGGGAACUAACCAGCUUCCCAACUAACAAAAGACUAACAGCCAUUAAACUGUCCCAUAUAGCCAUUGGAACUGACGCAGGCUUUUGAGGCAGCAGCUUCUUCCUGUUCCUGCUUCAGUUCAGGAUGGAGAUAAAGCAGGCACCAGUUCCUCUGGCAAAGAGCCUUACACACUUUUAAAAAAUUAAAAUACAAAAAAAGGGAGACAGGUGUAUUUACAAAAUCCAUGGCUGGUACAGUACAUCAUUUUUAAGACACACUAAAUGCUACAAUCUUUCAGGUCCUGAGAUUAUUACAAAGAAAAAAAAAAAAACAAACCAAACCAAGAACAAACCCCAACAACUCAAAAGUUGUGUUCAGGUCCAGUUUUAUAAGGAGAGAGGAAAGAAACCACACAUUUAAAACACAGUAUACCUUGAAGUUAUUGGAACACACCUCCCUAAAAAAUCCAAAUGAAAGUGGCGCUUACCACCCAAAUGUAGCUGCAUUUUGUUGCUCAGGCUUGUUGUCACAUGAGGGGAGCAUUUCAUGGGGCAGUUUCCCUGGAGAGCUCAUCAGGUAAGCACAAAGCUGUUGGGAUCCUCUCUCCAUCGCUAAGCCCUAUGACCCGGAAUGUGCGAGUGUUCACAGGAGGAAGGUGACUUUGUACAAAUUCAUGCUGGACUGAGGACAGCAUCACAGGAAUCACCAACUCAAACAGGUUUGCCAUCUCAUAGUAACUCUGCACUCCUUUGUUUGAAGCCAAAGAAUGCAAAGAAUUCUAGCUGUGAUUUAAGACGUGUUAAUAACAUUAAAAAAAAAAAAAAAAAUUCCUCCAGCUUUUUGUUCUGAGCUCCUCAGUGAAAGGCAGUAAAAUAGUUUCUCAGCCCUUCAUUGUCUGGGGGAUCACAGCAAGUCAGAUAGUUAAACUGGUUAUAUCCAAACUUGCUAACAUAUAUUAUAUAUAUAUUAAAAGUUACACCAAACAAAGGAUAUGGAGGCCAAACUGCUGUUGAGGGGAUAUUCCCCACUGCCAUUAGCUGCGCAGGGCACUCGUCACUGACCCUCUUUUAACAGGCAGGCCUAAAGGGACUUGCACCCUCACCUGAUUUUUUGCCCCCAGUGAAGUAUUCUGAACAUAGAGAUUUUAUAUCACCAGAAGAUAUCAGCACAGAUGCCUUUUUAUUAUACGCACCUGACCUUAAGCUAGAGAAUGGCAACUUUUUAAGGAUUACUCAUUAAAUGCUGCUAACUCUCAGUAAAAGACUACAAGAGACAAAUCACAUUAACAAGGAUACUAGUUUAACUGCUAAAAUAUAGCGCUCCUCAGUAGACUUUUUGGGGGUAAAAAGUAGUAAUUUUGUUGUUUUUUUUUUUUAAACAGUAGUCCAAAAAUAAAAUUUUUCCAUCUAUUUCCAGUACAGAUCUUGAUAACUAUGCAAGAACAUGGUACUAAUUGCUACAUGAUGGAAUCACCAGCAAUAAAACACAUACUACAAUUCUCACCUCUGAGCUAAAUUGUUAUUUGUAGUCACAUACAACAAGACUAAAAGACCAGUGAGAAAUACCUGGGGACUGGGAUUUAGUUUUUAUUUAGCUGGUAACUCCCCUUGUUUAGAAGCAACUUCAUAUCAGUUAGAAAUUAAUUUAAUUCACUUCACAUGCUGGAAAGAAACCUGGGAUGUCUCAAGAGUUUCUUCCCAAAUCCAACCUGUACAUUAAAAAACAUUUUUCCAGCUUCCUAAUCCAAUUGUGAGAGCUGAAUAUUCUAUAAAACUCUCAGACUAAAACCUGUCACAAGAAGUGAUUUUAGCUUCCCUC
rnacentral:lncRNA from 1 species